rnacentral:rRNA from 1 species
AUAAGAUAUCAAGGGCAACAGGUGAAUGCCUUGGCGCUGAGAGGCGAUGAAAGACGCGGUAAGCUGCGAUAAGCAUCGGGGAGGAGCUAAACAUCCUACGAUCCGAUGAUUUCUGAAUGGGGAAACCCGAUGGGAGUCAUGUCCCAUCAUCCUGAGCUGAAUAUAUAGGCCCAGAGAAGCCAACCCGGGGAAGUGAAACAUCUCAGUACCCGGAGGAAGAGAAAUCAAACGAGACUCCCAAAGUAGCGGCGAGCGAAAUGGGAAGAGCCCAAACCGAGUGGUUUCGACCAUUCGGGGUUGUAGGGCCGGCAUACGCGAUUCUGGAGUAGGCAGAGGAAGUGAGCUGGAAAGCUCCGCCACAGCGGGUGAUAGCCCCGUACUCGAAACCGAAAAGGACGCAGCCGGUACCUGAGUACUGCGAGGCACGUGGAACCUCGUGGGAAUCUAGGGGGACCAUCCUCUAAGGCUAAGUACUCCUCAGCGACCGAUAGUGAACUAGUACCGUGAGGGAAAGGUGAAAAGAACCCCUGUUAGGGGAGUGAAAUAGAAUCUGAAACCUGUUGCCUACAAGCUGCGAGAGCUACUUCGGUAGUGAUCGCGUGCCUUUUGUAUAAUGAGUCAGCGAGUUACUCUACCGUGCGAGGUUAAGCGAAAGCGUAGCCGUAGUGAAAGCGAGGCUUAAUAGGCCGACUAGUACGUUGGAGUAGACCCGAAACCGGGUGAUCUAUCCAUGAGCAGGUUGAAGCAAGGGUAAAGCCUUGUGGAGGACCGAACCGUCAACGGCUGAAAACGUUCCGGAUGACUUGUGGAUAGGGGUGAAAGGUCAAUCAAACCCGGUGAUAGCUGGUUCUCCCCGAAAUAUAUUGAGGUAUAGCCUCGGGAAUUGAUUAGCGGAGGUAAAGCACUGACAGAGCUAGGGGUCCUACCAGAUUACCAAACUCUAUCAAACUCAGAAUGCCGCUUAAUUGUAUCCCGGGAGUCAGACGGCGGGUGCGAAGGUUCGUCGUCAAAAGGGAAACAGCCCAGACCAACAGCUAAGGUCUCCAAAUCCAUGCUCAGUGGUGAAGGUAGUGGAACCGUUUAGACAGCCAGGACGUUGGCUUAGAAGCAGCCAUCGUUUAAAGAAAGCGUAAUAGCUCACUGGUCUAAUGGCUCUGCGCCGAAAAUGUAACGGGGCUAAGCAUGGUACCGAAGCUUUGGCAAUCCCCUUUGGGGAUUGGGUAGGGGAGCGUUCGCUGCGGGCUGAAGGUGUAUCGGAAGGUAUGCUGGACUGCAGUGAAGUGAUUAUGCUGACAUGAGUAACGAUAAAAUAUGUGAAAAACAUAUUCGCCGAAAACCCGAGGUUUCCUGGGUAAAGGUAAUCUUCCCAGGGUUAGUCGGAUCCUAAGGUGAGGGUGAAAGCCGUAACCGAUGGAAAACAGGUUAAUAUUCCUGUACUUGUUGUGUAGCGCGAUGGAGGGACGCAGGAAGAUAGGCGGGCCGGGUGUUGGAUAUCCCGGUGCAAGCGUGUAGGAAUAUCCGGUAGGCAAAUCCGCCGGACGAAUCUGAGACGCGAGUCCGUGGGCGCAAGCCCUGAAGCCGUUGAGUCUAUGCUGCCUAGAAAAGCUCCUAAGUUUAUCCACAGCAAUCCGUACCGCAAACCAACUCAGGUGGGUGGGAUGAACAAUCCAAGGCGCUCGAGAGAACUCUGGCCAAGGAACUCGGCAAAAUAACCCCGUAACUUCGGAAGAAGGGGUGCUCUCUAGGGUGACAUGUUUAACAUAUGAAGCCCCGGGGAGCCGCAGUGAAUUGGUGGUGGCGACUGUUUACUAAAAACAUAGGUCUGUGCGAAGUCCUAAAGACGACGUAUACGGACUGACGCCUGCCCGGUGCUGGAAGGUUAAAAGGAGGGGUCAGCGCAAGCAAAGCUCCGAAUUGAAGCCCCAGUAAACGGCGGCCGUAACUAUAACGGUCCUAAGGGAGCGAAAUUCCUUGUCGGGUAAGUUCCGACCUGCACGAAUGGCGUAACGAUCUCCACACUGUCUCGGCCAGAGACUCGGUGAAAUUGCAGUCGCGGUGAAAAUUCCGUGUACCCGCAGAAAGACGGAAAGACCCUGUGCACCUUUACUAUAGCUUGACAUUGGAUUUUGGGCCUGCAUGUGUAGGAUAGGUGGGAGGCUGUGAACCCUGUACGCCAGUAUGGGGGGAGCCAUCCUUGAAAUACCACCCUUGCAUGUUUA